rnacentral:tRNA from 1 species
CAGUUCAUCCGGUUCGUCAGGUUCUCCAUCGGAGGGCACGCCGAACUGGUCCGGCACCGGUCUCGAAAACCGGCACGGCUCCUGAACGGGGCCAUCAGGGUUCGACUCCCUGGCCCUCCGCUUGCGAGGAACGUAGAAGACGGAAUGAGGAAUGCAGAAGCGGCCGCACGCGUGGCGC